rnacentral:lncRNA from 1 species
GCUCGCUCUCUCCUGCUCCACCAUGAUAAGAUGUGCUUGCUUCCCCUUCACUUUCCGACUUGAUCGUAAGUUUCCCAGCCAGGCUUCCUGUACAGCUUGUGGAACUGUGAGUCAAUUAAAACUCUUUUCUUUGUGAAUUACCCAGUCUCAGGUAGUUCCUUAUAGCAGUGUGAGAAGGAACUAAUGCACUGAGUUUCUGUGAAGACUCACUGAAGCAAUGUGUAUAAAGCAGUUAGUGCUGCCAUGGAAUACUCACUAAGUAUCAUCAAUUAUGACUGUUUUUAUAAUUAAUAGUGCCAAUAAUAUUUUUAAAAUUGCUAUACAUGUGGAAGAAAAAUUCUUUCAAGUCAAUUUUUGAAUGACUGUUUGUUAGGUACACCAACAACCUGAGAGAUUCCUGGGCCUCCGAAACAUUUGAAUGCAAUGAUUCUAACAACGUGUUCCAUGAACUUACAGCAUCAGCAUCACUUGGGAACACGUUAGAAAGGGAAAUUCUUGAUUCAUACUCCAGUUGUAUUGAAUCAGAAAUCCUGAUGGUGGAACCCAGGAAACUGUGUCUCUAACAAAUUCUCCAGGUGAUUCUGAUGUGAACUAGAGUUUGAGAACCACUGCUCUAAGGUAUACGUUGGGAAUAAUUCCUCUAAGCAGGAACUUGGUCUCAUCUGUGUAAUCACUCCAAACACCUGGUUGAGUGCCUUGUAUGGGGUAGUUACUUAGUAAAGUGAUUGAAUGGGAUGAAAAACUAAUUCAUGAGCAGGACCUGAUCCUACAUUAUUGACAAUUGUUCCCACAGCUUGGCAUUGACUGAUGUUGACAGACACAACUAAGUUACACCCACAGGUCCUAAUCUCUCUCUAUCUGCCUGUACCAGGUGUAAGGCAGCAUGCCUGUGGGCUAAAGAGGCCACUUGUGCUUACAAGUUGAGACCUGCCAGCACAGUUCAAGUGAUCCUACACCUUAGUUAGGGCCAAACAGAGGGAGAGGUUUCAUUACAAAUAAUUAAACUCAAAUGAAACAAACCCAGGAGUUCAACACAACUGCAGCUAUGGCAGUCAUCAGAUCAUUCCUCUAUUGUUUUUAUUGGAGGGAUUUUGGCACUAAUAGACAAGAGUUUGGGGGAUGUUUGUAUGUAUGUUUGAUUUAAUGGUGUAAAUGUCAUUUUCUGAGUAUUCAAAAUUUCAGUAUUGAAAAUUGAGUCACCUUGAAAAUCACACUGUAGAAAUAUGGGACCAAGAAGAAAAUAUAUUCAUUUGAACUUCAAGCCAUCUUCUACUAUAUUUGCAUAAAUCUAGAAAAGGGAUUCAUAUAAUGAAUCAUAGUAAGAUUUGUUAAAACCCUAGCAGCAUCUGGAUCAACAUGACUAGUGAUAGGUUUUUAAAUUGCAAAUACAGAAAGUAAAUAUGAAGGAAUCAGCGUAUUUGGGAGAUAGUUUUGAAAAGCAUAUUUAAAGAAGUAUUUCUGGCUGGGUACAGUGGCUCAUGCCUGUAAUCCCAGCACUUUGGGAGGCUGAGGCGGGUGGAUCACCUGAGGUCAGGAGUUCGAGACCAGCCUGGCCAACAUGGUGAAACCCCAUCUCUACUAAAAAUACAACAAUUAGCUGGGCAUCAUGGCACAUGCCUAUAAUACUAGCUACUUGGGAGACUGAGGCAAGAGAAUUGCUUGAACCCGGGAGGUGGAGGUUGCAGUAAGCUGAGAUGAUGCCACUGAACUCCAGCCUGGGCAACAGAGCAAGACUCUGUCUCAAAAAAAAAAAAAAAAAAGAAGUAUUUCCUACAUAAAAAUACAUAAUAUAUGUGUAAGUUAUGAAACAUAACUAUAAACUGAACACCCAAUAGGCCACCAUUAUCCUUAGGUAAUGGGAGAUUAUAAACACCAUUGAGACUUCUUAUAGGUCACUUGUUCAUUGCAAACCCCUGGCUGCUACCUGCCCUUCACUGAGGUAACCACUAUCCUGAAUGGUGCUUAACAAUAAAUUUGAUACAUAUAUAUUUAUCUAUAAUUUAUUUAUUUUAGAGUUUGCUUGCUUUUCAACUUUAUUUAAAUGAUAUCAUAUUCUAUGUAUUCCUUAAUUUUUUUCAUUCAGUGUUAUCCACAUGGUUGUAAAUAUUCUGCUGAAUUCUAGUCUAUUUUGUAAUUAUAUUACAGUUUACCCA